rnacentral:rRNA from 1 species
GGGUUGUGAGGUUAAGCGACUAAGCGUACACGGUGGAUGCCCUGGCAGUCAGAGGCGAUGAAGGGCGUGCUAAUCUGCGAUAAGCGCCGGUAAGGUGAUAUGAACCGUUAUAACCGGCGAUACCCGAAUGGGGAAACCCAGUGUGAUUCGUCACACUAUCAUUAACUGAAUCCAUAGGUUAAUGAGGCGAACCGGGGGAACUGAAACAUCUAAGUACCCCGAGGAAAAGAAAUCAACCGAGAUUCCCCCAGUAGCGGCGAGCGAACGGGGAGGAGCCCAGAGCCUGAAUCAGCAUGUGUGUUAGUGGAAGCGUCUGGAAAGGCGCGCGAUACAGGGUGACAGCCCCGUACACAAAAGCGCAUGUGCUGUGAGCUCGAUGAGUAGGGCGGGACACGUGGUAUCCUGUCUGAAUAUGGGGGGACCAUCCUCCAAGGCUAAAUACUCCUGACUGACCGAUAGUGAACCAGUACCGUGAGGGAAAGGCGAAAAGAACCCCGGCGAGGGGAGUGAAAAAGAACCUGAAACCGUGUACGUACAAGCAGUGGGAGCACAGGUUUACCUGUGUGACUGCGUACCUUUUGUAUAAUGGGUCAGCGACUUAUAUUCUGUAGCAAGGUUAACCGAAUAGGGGAGCCGCAGGGAAACCGAGUCUUAAUUGGGCGUUAAGUUGCAGGGUAUAGACCCGAAACCCGGUGAUCUAGCCAUGGGCAGGUUGAAGGUUGGGUAACACUAACUGGAGGACCGAACCGACUAAUGUUGAAAAAUUAGCGGAUGACCUGUGGCUGGGGGUGAAAGGCCAAUCAAACCGGGAGAUAGCUGGUUCUCCCCGAAAGCUAUUUAGGUAGCGCCUCGUGAAUUCAUCUCCGGGGGUAGAGCACUGUUUCGGCUAGGGGGCCAUCCCGGCUUACCAACCCGAUGCAAACUGCGAAUACCGGAGAAUGUUAUCACGGGAGACACACGGCGGGUGCUAACGUCCGUCGUGAAGAGGGAAACAACCCAGACCGCCAGCUAAGGUCCCAAAGUCAUGGUUAAGUGGGAAACGAUGUGGGAAGGCCCAGACAGCCAGGAUGUUGGCUUAGAAGCAGCCAUCAUUUAAAGAAAGCGUAAUAGCUCACUGGUCGAGUCGGCCUGCGCGGAAGAUGUAACGGGGCUAAACCAUGCACCGAAGCUGCGGCAGCGACGCUGAUGCGUUGUUGGGUAGGGGAGCGUUCUGUAAGCCUGUGAAGGUGUGUCGUGAGGCAUGCUGGAGGUAUCAGAAGUGCGAAUGCUGACAUAAGUAACGAUAAAGCGGGUGAAAAGCCCGCUCGCCGGAAGACCAAGGGUUCCUGUCCAACGUUAAUCGGGGCAGGGUGAGUCGACCCCUAAGGCGAGGCCGAAAGGCGUAGUCGAUGGGAAACGGGUUAAUAUUCCCGUACUUGGUGUUACUGCGAAGGGGGGACGGAGAAGGCUAUGUUGGCCGGGCGACGGUUGUCCCGGUUUAAGCGUGUAGGUGUGUGUUCCAGGUAAAUCCGGUUCACUUUAACACUGAGGCGUGAUGACGAGGCACUACGGUGCUGAAGCAACAAAUGCCCUGCUUCCAGGAAAAGCCUCUAAGCAUCAGGUAACAUCAAAUCGUACCCCAAACCGACACAGGUGGUCAGGUAGAGAAUACCAAGGCGCUUGAGAGAACUCGGGUGAAGGAACUAGGCAAAAUGGUGCCGUAACUUCGGGAGAAGGCACGCUGACACGUAGGUGAAGUGAUUUACUCAUGGAGCUGAAGUCAGUCGAAGAUACCAGCUGGCUGCAACUGUUUAUUAAAAACACAGCACUGUGCAAACACGAAAGUGGACGUAUACGGUGUGACGCCUGCCCGGUGCCGGAAGGUUAAUUGAUGGGGUCAGCGCAAGCGAAGCUCCUGAUCGAAGCCCCGGUAAACGGCGGCCGUAACUAUAACGGUCCUAAGGUAGCGAAAUUCCUUGUCGGGUAAGUUCCGACCUGCACGAAUGGCGUAAUGAUGGCCAGGCUGUCUCCACCCGAGACUCAGUGAAAUUGAACUCGCUGUGAAGAUGCAGUGUACCCGCGGCAAGACGGAAAGACCCCGUGAACCUUUACUAUAGCUUGACACUGAACAUUGAGCCUUGAUGUGUAGGAUAGGUGGGAGGCUUUGAAGUGUGGACGCCAGUCUGCAUGGAGCCGACCUUGAAAUACCACCCUUUAAUGUUUGAUGUUCUAACGUGGACCCGUAAUCCGGGUUGCGGACAGUGUCUGGUGGGUAGUUUGACUGGGGCGGUCUCCUCCUAAAGAGUAACGGAGGAGCACGAAGGUUGGCUAAUCCUGGUCGGACAUCAGGAGGUUAGUGCAAUGGCAUAAGCCAGCUUGACUGCGAGCGUGACGGCGCGAGCAGGUGCGAAAGCAGGUCAUAGUGAUCCGGUGGUUCUGAAUGGAAGGGCCAUCGCUCAACGGAUAAAAGGUACUCCGGGGAUAACAGGCUGAUACCGCCCAAGAGUUCAUAUCGACGGCGGUGUUUGGCACCUCGAUGUCGGCUCAUCACAUCCUGGGGCUGAAGUAGGUCCCAAGGGUAUGGCUGUUCGCCAUUUAAAGUGGUACGCGAGCUGGGUUUAGAACGUCGUGAGACAGUUCGGUCCCUAUCUGCCGUGGGCGCUGGAGAACUGAGGGGGGCUGCUCCUAGUACGAGAGGACCGGAGUGGACGCAUCACUGGUGUUCGGGUUGUCAUGCCAAUGGCACUGCCCGGUAGCUAAAUGCGGAAGAGAUAAGUGCUGAAAGCAUCUAAGCACGAAACUUGCCCCGAGAUGAGUUCUCCCUGAGACUUAGAGUCUCCUGAAGGAACGUUGAAGACGACGACGUUGAUAGGCCGGGUGUGUAAGCGCAGCGAUGCGUUGAGCUAACCGGUACUAAUGAACCGUGAGGCUUAACCUUACAACGCCGAAGCUGUU